GAUGAACGCUGGCGGCGUGCCUAAUACAUGCAAGUCGAGCGAACAGACGAGGAGCUUGCUUCUCUGACGUUAGCGGCGGACGGGUGAGUAACACGUGGAUAACCUACCUAUAAGACUGGGAUAACUUCGGGAAACCGGAGCUAAUACCGGAUAAUAUAUUGAACCGCAUGGUUCAAUAGUGAAAGACGGUUUUGCUGUCACUUAUAGUUGGAUCCGCGCCGCAUUAGCUAGUUGGUAAGGUAACGGCUUACCAAGGCAACGAUGCGUAGCCGACCUGAGAGGGUGAUCGGCCACACUGGAACUGAGACACGGUCCAGACUCCUACGGGAGGCAGCAGUAGGGAAUCUUCCGCAAUGGGCGAAAGCCUGACGGAGCAACGCCGCGUGAGUGAUGAAGGUCUUCGGAUCGUAAAACUCUGUUAUUAGGGAAGAACAAAUGUGUAAGUAACUAUGCACGUCUUGACGGUACCUAAUCAGAAAGCCACGGCUAACUACGUG
rnacentral:rRNA from 1 species